UACGGAGGGUGCAAGCGUUAUCCGGAAUCACUGGGUUUAAAGGGUGCGUAGGCGGCUUGGUAAGUCAGCGGUGAAAGCUUCCCGCUUAACGGGAGAACUGCCCCUGAUACUGCCAGGCUUGAAUCGGCACGAGGCAGGCGGAAUGUGACAUGUAGCGGUGAAAUGCUUAGAUAUGUCAUAGAACACCGAUUGCGAAGGCAGCCUGCCAGAGCCGCAUUGACGCUGAGGCACGAAAGCGUGGGGAGCGAACAGG
rnacentral:rRNA from 1 species